CUGGUAGUACCAAAGGCUAAUGUACCAGAGUCUGGUAGGACCAGGCUAAUGUAUCAGAGUCUGGUAGGACCAGGCUAAUGUGCCAGAGUCUGGUAGUACCAGAGUCUAGUAGGACCAGGCUAAUGUGCCAGAGUCUGGUAGUACCAGGCUAAUGUACCAGAGUCUGGUAGGACCAGUCUAAUGGACCGGAGUCUGGUAGGACCAGUCUAAUGGACCGGAGUCUGGUAGGACAAGGAUAAUGGACCAGAGUCUGGCAGGACCAGAAUGAUGGACAACAGUCUGGGAGGACAAGGCUAAUGGACAAGAGUCUGGCAGGACCAGAAUAAUGGACAAGGAGUCUGAAAGGACGAGGCUAAUGGACCAGAGUCUGGUAGGACCAGGCUUAUGGACCAGAGUCUG